CAAGCCUGGCUGAGCACAGCAGGGAAUUUGCGGCAUUUCCUACCCAUGGAACAACAACCAGAGCCAGGUGCUGUCCCAGGGCUGCUCCUCUGCACGGAUUCACACCCUGCUCUGCCACAGGAGAGCCCCAGGAAAACUUGGAGCCUUUUGUUCCCAGCCCUUGCAGCAGCUUCCUCUCCCACCCAGCCAGAGCUGGAACCAAGGAGGAGCUUCCCUGCCUUGCUGAACACUGAUGACCAAACUGGGCUCGGAUGCUUUCUCUUCCUCCUGGAAGUGAUGAGGAGCUCCCUGCCAGGCCCUUUCUCCUCCCUCACCACAGGACAGCCAGAAGAGUCUUUUCUUCCUGUGGGACGAUGUUGCUAUUGACAGAAGCAUGUAGACACCCACCCACUCAUAAAUAACUCGGUUAUUGCCUAACAGAGCUGGGCUUUGCCAUGAUCCCCGUGGAUCUGUGCUGUGGUGAGCACUGCUCCUCUCCCCAGCAGAGCAGGCCCAGCCAGAGCUGCCUCUGCAGCUGAUCCGGGGCAGCCUGGCUCUCCUGGGGCUGCCUUUCAGUGCAAGACAUUUUAAUCAGCCCAGGAGGAGAAGCUGUUCCAGCAGAAAAGAACAGAAGAGUUCAGCACUUCCCAGCCUGGCCGCGUGUGCAGGGAGGUUCAGUCUGUAACACUUCAAGGAGCCCAGGAGACACGAGGGUUUUCCAUCUUCUCCCCUCAGCACAAUCAGUGCCCUGAGGCAAUUCCAUGCUCCAUCAGACUUCCUGUGAGAAGAAAUUCAAUAUUCAAGUAACAGCAGCCAAGGUUUGUGCCAGUGGGAUUAUUUCAGCACUGAUCCUUUGUGGGGUUUGUAUGCCAGCUUGGACAAACUGGGCAGAAGGUGCUUUUUGGCAGCCCCCGAGCCUCUCUCCCACAAGUAAAUCAUGGAAUAUCCUGAGUUGGAAGGGCCCACAAGGACCAUGGAGUCCAGCUCCCAAAUGAGGGGUGCUCGAGGUGGGGACAGGAGGUGCAGGGAUGAAAGGCCUGGUCUUUUUAGACGUGUGGGGUUUGGCAGCACCCUGAAUCCCUUCCCGGUGUUCCUGCAGCCCCACACCUCACAUGGCACACAGCCAGGAGCAGGACCUGCCACAGCCACCCCCAGGUGACAGAGAGCAUCAUCACCCACUCAUUUCCACAGCCAUGGCAGGGGCUGGCAGGAGAUGAGUUUGGAGAUCCCUUCCAAGCCACGCCACUCUGGGAUUCCGUGGUUCCAUGACUCCCUGAAGAAACAAUAGCAGCAAUCCCUCCUGCACAUGAUUACAGAGAUGUAUAUGCACAAAAUGUCUAUUUUAUGCUGUCUCUUUGUUUGGCAGCUUUAAGUGCUGCAGGAUUAAUGGCCUGGAAAGAUUAGAACCAGACAGAACCACUGUGGGGCUCAGCUGAAGCUGCUCCCCCCGGGGCUGUGAGCCUGUCUGCUGUCAGCUGCCAGAGGACAGAUGAUCUCCCCUCUCUCUGAGCUGGAGUGUCCUGGCUGGGAAGCCCUGAGGGAUUACCAGGGGAUAAUUUGACCAAAUCCUGACUUGGUGGCAGCUCACGGAGAGUUUGGUGCAGGACCUUGUCAGCAGAACCAUCAGCAAAGGGAAAAAUGGUUUAUUUUGCCUGCAAGGCACCAUCCCUGCAGUGAAAGGAGAGGAUUGGGAAGAUGCAGGAGUUCCUGUGGUCCCAGCUCCUGGGAUCUCCCCAGCUCCAGCCCUUCCUGUCAGCUCCAGUGCUCCAUGGAGGACCCGGGGGUGUUAUGCUGGAAUUUCAGUUUCUAAACAAGUAAGGAAAGUUUCUUUCAGUGUUUCUUUGUUUUAUCAGUCUCCCAUUUCAUGGUGAAGGUUUAAAGCUGGUGAGGAAGAGCAAGGCCUUGCUCCUCUGGCCCAGCCAGAAUAUAAAAGAGAGUCACCUCUGCUAAAACACCUGAGUGCUUUUGUGGAGGCAGCAAGUCUGGGCUGUAAUUAACACAGGGCUUAAUUACACUCAUGGCUUUUUGCAGUUAUGAGGGCAAUCAGGGGCACUGCUGCCCUUCUGUCACCUUUCCCUUGAGCCCAGGGCCUUGGUCACAUCCCAGGGCUCCUGGAAGAGCCUGCCCAGCAGCUCUGCAGGCAGGGCCCUUUCCGCCUGAAAAAUUCCUUUUUAUUUCCUCUCCUGUCUGUGUGCAGCUCCCCUGGAGGAGUCAGGGCUGUGCUGUGGCUGCUGAGCAGGGCAGGAGCCCGGGGACACUGCAGGGAC